rnacentral:rRNA from 1 species
AUGCCCAAGGCAGGAGACUGUAGCGGCGGCGGCGGCGGCGGUGGCCGGAGGGACCUGCCUCUGCUUUUCCUCAGGGUGGGCGCUGCCAUCACGCUCUCCAUCGCUGGGCUCUUCUUCUCGCGGCUGCGGUGGCAGCACCGGCCUCGGCCCCGGCACCUCCUGCUCCCUCCUCCUUCAGAGCCGGAUGAUGCCCGUGGCAUGAAGGGUGGUGGUGGAGGGCUCAAGGAUGAGCUAAGGAUCCUCAAGAAUGAGGACACCAAGGCAAAAAUAAUCAAUGGGAACUCUGUGCACACAACCACUACCACUACAACAACCACCACCACUGCCUCGGUGUCACUUCCCCCAAAAUGCCGAAACAUUGAUGAUGAUGAUGAUGAUGAAGGAUUUCUCCUUCCAGAAUUCAAUGAAAUGGUUAUGGAAGAAUUUGGCGGAGACGUAGGCAAUAUCGCAAGCUCACCUGCAGCAAGAGUAAGGGAAGAUGCAUCUAAUGAGCAUGAAGUUUUCAAGCUCAGAGAUUUGGUUAGAUCUCUGCAAGAAAGGGAAAAGACCCUGGAGAUACAACUUUUGGAGUUGUAUGGUUUGCAGGAGCAAGGUGCUGCAGUUAGGGAGCUUGAGAACCAACUGAAGAUAAACAAUGUCGAGUCACAGCUAUACUCCUUGAAGAUCGAAUCCUUGCAAUCUGAAAAUCAGAGGUUACAAACACAGUUGUCUGAAACCUCAAAGUUAACUUCCCAGCUUGAGUUGACAAAAUCAAAAUGCAAGCUGUUGAAAAAGAAGUUGAGACAGGAUGCGGAACAAGCAAAGGAGAAAAUCACUUCCCUUCAGAACAUAGUUGAUUCCUUUCAGUGUAAGGAGAUUAUUGAGGGAGAAGUUGACGGUGAGGUUGAGAAGAAAUUAAAGAGGCUAGAGGAAUUGGAAAAUGAGGCAAGAGAGCUUAGAGCUGCAAAUUCAAGGCUGCAGCAGGAGAAUUCACACCUUAGUAGGCGAUUGGAGCUCACACGCCUACCGCCUGUACCCAAGUCCCACAAUAGCAUGGAGGUAAAAACAUCAGAACAAGCUGAUGGGUUGAAGCAAGAAAACGAGAAGUUAUCAAAAGAGGUUGAACAACUGCGGACUGACAGGUUUGCAGAUGUUGAGGAGCUGGUAUAUCUUAAAUGGAUCAAUGCUUGCCUGCGGCAUGAGCUGAAGAACAAGGGGACUCCUGGUCCUGGGGCACAAACUACAGCACAGGAUCUAAGCAACACUCUAAGCCCCAAAUCUGGACAGACAGCCAAGCAAUUGAUAAUGGAGUAUGCCAAUGUUGGUGCGGACGAGAGAAGUUUAAGCUCCAUAGAAUUUGGUUCAGAGUACGCUUCUUCAAGGGCAUCAUCAAGUGGCGAACCCGAUGACACAUCGAUCGAUAUGUCAUCAAUCACAACGCCCAGAAACCCGAAGAAGAAAGAGAAGAAGAAGUUUUUCUCUAAGCUACGGAAAUUGGUACUGGGAAAAGACAAGGAAAAGAACAAUUUCCCUACUUUGGAGAGGAGAGUGUCUAUUUCGAGCUGUUCCUUUGAUGACUUCACUGGAAGAGACUCGCAUGAUAGCUACUCUUCCUUCUUGACAGAAGGAGCCGUAUCUGCCAAUCAGCAGCAUGACGAUCGCAGCUGCGUUACGCCUUCUUUUGGCAGCCAAAGAUAUAGCACAGAAGCAGGAGAUGGAAGAUACCAGCGUCAUGGGGUAAAAAAGAAUGCAUCUUUCGGAUCCGGAAGAUUCAGUGAACAUGGUUCUCAGUUUGAUAGUGGUGAGGCCACAAUACCAGAAGAUGUCGAGAUCCACAAAUUCGCCGAGGCACUGAUUACAUCAAGGACAGGUUCUAUGUCAUCCAGAAGGACAUUAUCCUUCAGCUAA